rnacentral:rRNA from 1 species
AUGGUCUUCAGCGAUUGCAUGGACAUUGUAACAAGAUCCAUCACUCAUCAUGUGCCCGUAUAUAGAUAUAUACGAUGGGUUUUUUUGAUCACCCGAAACCCCCCGCGUCGCUCCCGCGAGCGACGGGAGGAAACCCUCGCCGCCGCCGGUCCUAGCCCCCUUCCCCUCCUCCUCUCUCCUCGUCGCCGCCGCACUCGCUGGCGGGCAAAGCCCGGCCAGCCGCGACGGCGGCGGGGCCUCCUCUCCUUCCCGAACGGUGGUGGGCGGCGCGGGACGACCUCGCCGGUCGGGGACGCGGUGCUUCGUGGGGUACGCCAGCGCAGGUGGUUGCUGCCCCGGAGUGGUGGGCUACGUGCGGUGGUCGUCGGGGUUGCGCCCGUGGUGGCAGAGGCGGCGGUGCGGGCCUGGCGGCGGCGGAGGCCCGAAUCGAUCUGGAUCUGGGGGCUCUCCUCUGGCUGGCGGCGCGGGGGCUAG